UUGAACGCUGGCGGCAGGCCUAACACAUGCAAGUCGAACGGUAACAGGAAGCAGCUUGCUGCUUUGCUGACGAGUGGCGGACGGGUGAGUAAUGUCUGGGAAACUGCCUGAUGGAGGGGGAUAACUACUGGAAACGGUAGCUAAUACCGCAUAACGUCGCAAGACCAAAGAGGGGGACCUUCGGGCCUCUUGCCAUCGGAUGUGCCCAGAUGGGAUUAGCUUGUUGGUGGGGUAACGGCUCACCAAGGCGACGAUCCCUAGCUGGUCUGAGAGGAUGACCAGCCACACUGGAACUGAGACACGGUCCAGACUCCUACGGGAGGCAGCAGUGGGGAAUAUUGCACAAUGGGCGCAAGCCUGAUGCAGCCAUGCCGCGUGUAUGAAGAAGGCCUUCGGGUUGUAAAGUACUUUCAGCGGGGAGGAAGGGAGUAAAGUUAAUACCUUUACUCAUUGACGUUACCCGCAGAAGAAGCACCGGCUAACUCCGUGCCAGCAGCCGCGGUAAUACGGAGGGUGCAAGCGUUAAUCGGAAUUACUGGGCGUAAAGCGCACGCAGGCGGUUUGUUAAGUCAGAUGUGAAAUCCCCGGGCUCAACCUGGGAACUGCAUCUGAUACUGGCAAGCUUGAGUCUCGUAGAGGGGGGUAGAAUUCCAGGUGUAGCGGUGAAAUGCGUAGAGAUCUGGAGGAAUACCGGUGGCGAAGGCGGCCCCCUGGACGAAGACUGACGCUCAGGUGCGAAAGCGUGGGGAGCAAACAGGAUUAGAUACCCUGGUAGUCCACGCCGUAAACGAUGUCGACUUGGAGGUUGUGCCCUUGAGGCGUGGCUUCCGGAGCUAACGCGUUAAGUCGACCGCCUGGGGAGUACGGCCGCAAGGUUAAAACUCAAAUGAAUUGACGGGGGCCCGCACAAGCGGUGGAGCAUGUGGUUUAAUUCGAUGCAACGCGAAGAACCUUACCUGGUCUUGACAUCCACAGAACUUUCCAGAGAUGGAUUGGUGCCUUCGGGAACUGUGAGACAGGUGCUGCAUGGCUGUCGUCAGCUCGUGUUGUGAAAUGUUGGGUUAAGUCCCGCAACGAGCGCAACCCUUAUCCUUUGUUGCCAGCGGUCCGGCCGGGAACUCAAAGGAGACUGCCAGUGAUAAACUGGAGGAAGGUGGGGAUGACGUCAAGUCAUCAUGGCCCUUACGACCAGGGCUACACAUGUGCUACAAUGGCGCAUACAAAGAGAAGCGACCUCGCGAGAGCAAGCGGACCUCAUAAAGUGCGUCGUAGUCCGGAUUGGAGUCUGCAACUCGACUCCAUGAAGUCGGAAUCGCUAGUAAUCGUGGAUCAGAAUGCCACGGUGAAUACGUUCCCGGGCCUUGUACACACCGCCCGUCACACCAUGGGAGUCGGAAAUGCCCGAAGUCUGUGACUCAACCGCAAGGAGAGAGCAGCCGAAGGCAGGUCUGAUAACUGGGGUG
rnacentral:rRNA from 1 species